GGGACGAACGCUGGCGGCGUGCUUAACACAUGCAAGUCGAGCGGUAAGGCCUCCUUCGGGGGGUACACGAGCGGCGAACGGGUGAGUAACACGUGGGUGACCUGCCCUCAGCUCUGGGAUAAGCCUGGGAAACCGGGUCUAAUACCGGAUAGGACUGCUUGCCGCAUGGUGGGUGGUGGAAAGUUUUUUCGGCUGGGGAUGGGCCCGCGGCCUAUCAGCUUGUUGGUGGGGUGAUGGCCUACCAAGGCGGUGACGGGUA
rnacentral:rRNA from 1 species